AACGAACGCUGGCGGCAUGCUUAACACAUGCAAGUCGAACGAGACCUUCGGGUCUAGUGGCGCACGGGUGCGUAACGCGUGGGAACCUGCCCUUAGGUUCGGAAUAACUCCCCGAAAGGGGUGCUAAUACCGGAUAAUGUCUUCGGACCAAAGAUUUAUCGCCUUUGGAUGGGCCCGCGUUGGAUUAGCUAGUUGGUAGGGUAAAAGCCUGCCAAGGCGACGAUCCAUAGCUGGUCUGAGAGGAUGAUCAGCCACACUGGGACUGAGACACGGCCCAGACUCCUACGGAAGGCAGCAGUGGGGAAUAUUGGACAAUGAGCGAAAGCCUGAUCCAGCAAUGCCGCGUGAGUGAUGAAGGCCUUAGGGUUGUAAAGCUCUUUUACCCGGGAUGAUAAUGACAGUACCGGGUGAAUAAGCUCCGGCUAACUCCGUG
rnacentral:rRNA from 1 species